GACGAACGCUGGCGGCGUGCUUAACACAUGCAAGUCGAACGGAAAGGCCCCUUUUGGGGUACUCGCGUGGCGAACGGGUGUGUAACACGUGAGUAACCUGCCCUUGACUUCGGGAUAACUUCAGGAAACUGGGGCUAAUACCGGAGAGGAAUCCUUGCGGCAUGGGGGGGGUUGGAAAGCUUCGGCGGUUUUGGAUGGAGUCGCGGCUUAUCUGCUUGUUGGUGGGGUAGUGGCUUAGAAAGGCCUUGACGGGGAGCCGGCCUGAGAGGGCGAGCGGCGACAGUGGGACUUGGAGAGGGCCCAGACCUCUACGGGAGGAAGCAGUGGGGAAGAUUGCACAAUGGGCGGAAGCCUGAUGAAGCAACGCCGGGUGCGGGACGACGGCGUUUAGGUUGUAAACCGCUUUCAGCAGGGGCGAAGGUUGUAGUGACGGUACCUGCAGAAGAAGCACCGGCUAACUACGUG
rnacentral:rRNA from 1 species